CGUAGGUAACCUGCCUGGUAGCGGGGGAUAACUAUUGGAAACGAUAGCUAAUACCGCAUAAGAGUAGAUGUUGCAUGACAUUUGCUUAAAAGGUGCAAUUGCAUCACUACCAGAUGGACCUGCGUUGUAUUAGCUAGUUGGUGGGGUAACGGCUCACCAAGGCGACGAUACAUAGCCGACCUGAGUGGGUGAUCGGCCACACUGGGACUGAGACACGGCCCAG
rnacentral:rRNA from 1 species